rnacentral:tRNA from 1 species
GCUGGUAUAGCUCAGAAGGUAGAGCACCUGAUUUGUAAUCAGGCGGUCAGUGGUUCGAUUCCUCUUACCAGCACCA